GCCAGGUGCGGUGGCGCGUGCCUGUAGUCCCAGCUACUUGGGAGGCCGAGGUGGGAGUAUCGCUUGAGCCCAGGCGUUCUGGGCUGCAGUGCGCUAUGCCAAUCAGGUGUCCACACUAAGUUCGGCAUCAAUAUGGUGACCUCCCGGGAGGGGUGAACUGGCCCAGGUCAGAAACGGAGCAGGUCAAAACUCCCAUGCUGAUCAGUAGUGGGAUCGCGCCUGUGAAUAGCCACGGCACUCCAGCCUGGGCAACAUAGUGAGACCCCAUCUCU
rnacentral:SRP_RNA from 1 species